rnacentral:lncRNA from 1 species
AGGAACAGUUCUGCAGUUUCUGGGGAAGAGACCACUAUGGCUGGGACCUGCCCCAGAUUUAAGGACAUUAUGGGACCAUAUUUUGUGGCAAGGGAUUGAAGGGUUCGAUGUGGGAGUUUUCCUAACAUGUGAAGGUUUCCAAUAAUUGGCAAGGGUUUGGGACCUGGUGCAGUUUUCCAAUCAUGUUUCUUUUGGAACAAAAAAACAAUGAAUGAUAUUAAGAGAAGUGUUAUAGGGAUAGCUAGUGCUUGAAACAACAUUUCUAAAUUGUUUAUUUGCUUUGUGAGAAUUAAGAGGUGAGUUUAGGUUAUUUAUAGACCUUAAUAUAUAGUAUACUGUGUGUAUAUAGAUAUAUAGGUAGAUAUUGAUGGGAAAAACGCGCGCGAAAACAACACACAUAAUCACGAAAUCAACUGCAGAAAAAUAAACGACACAAGAUUUAACGUGGUUCGGUCGCCAACUGCAACCUACAUCCACCCGGACAACUAUUAGGUUUACAUUAUAUCCUGUUACACACCAAUUACAAGUACAAUAAUCUCUUUAAAUAGAGAUAAAUAGAGAUAAUAAAGGGACAUAACAAUUAAGCUCACUCACUAAACAUGUGUCUUGUCAGCCCAACCCAAUUGGUCCUGGCUUCGUACCCAACAGAUAUAUAUAUAUAUAUGGUGCUGGCUUCGUACAGAACAUAUAUAUAUAUAGACUUUCAAAUGUAUUAGAAUAUGUCUUGUGAUUUUGGAGGAUUUUAAUAAAUUAAAUAAUAAAAUUGAGUAAUCAAGAAAUAACUUGCUAUGAUUGUCAAGGCAAAAUCGUAAUAAUAUUAAUAAUGGCAGGUAUUUUAGAUUUUGUAGGAAGAUAUUUGUUUUUAUAUAAAUAAAGAGCAAUAAUAAAUAACUUUUUAUAUAUAAAAUGUUAUAGUUAAAGUUACAGAUAGAUUAAUUACUUUAAAAGCAUAAAUAUUAUUUUUAAUUUAUAAUGAAUAAUGUAAAUUAUGAUAUUAGAAUAUUUCCUCUUUUUACUCUGAUGUAACUAAAAAAUAUGGUAUCAGAAUAUUUUAACUAUAGAUAAUUCCAAACUUAUUAAAACUUACUUUGGAAUACAUAUAAGACAUGAUAAAUUUAAUGUUUCAAUAAAUUAAUAUAUGAACAGAUAAAAGGAAAGUAUCUUGAUAUGAUUGAAAGAAGAAAAUCAGUUUUUUAAAUGUAAAUAAAAUGUAUAUUUGAAAGAAAGACAAAAAAGAGAGUAUUGAGAAUAUUUAAAGAAAAGUUAAAAGAGGAAGAAUAUUUCUGAAUUAUAUAUUACAUAUUGUAAUUUAUAAUAGAAAUAAGUUAAAGAGAGCAUUUAAAAAUGUUUUGGUCGCAGUGCUUUUUCCCUUACACACUGUCAUGGUUGGUACCUCCUUGUUUGCUACCUCUUUUUUUGUCUUGUUAUUUAGACUGUUCAUUAUAUCUUAGUUUAAUUCUAAUUUUUAUUUUUAAAAAUUAAAUUUUUAUAUCAAAUCAUUUUUAAAAAUAUUUUUUAAUAUAUAUGAAUUUAUUCUAUUUUAGUCUUUAUUUAUUUAUGGUAAUUCAAUGAUAAACUCGACCAAAAUCAAUAAUAUAUAGACAUGGGGUAGAGUUUAUUCGUAUUGUGAUCUUCAAUAAAAUAAUAAGCCAAUAACGACGAAGACCUUGUCUUCUAGAUUAGAGGCACAUGGAUCUAUGCAGACAAUAUAUCUUUUAAUACAUGAUACGAAACUAUUUUAAUUUUAAAUAGUUUUUUAAUAUAUAUGACUUAAAAUCAAAGUCAGACGAUUUUUCUUUACUUAUGAUAUUAUAUUAUAAAAGAUGGAAAUGCGUGCCAAAACCUUUUUACAACUAAAAGAGUGCAUUAAUAUCAUACCUAAUAUUAUUUGAGUUUAACUAACCCAAGUACUUAGAUAACCAAAUAUAAAAGCAAAUUGGUAGCCUAAAAAAAAUAAUCAGAAAACAAAGUUUAUAGUGUUGACAAAUACUUUCAUAUUUCUAUUGAUGUAGUUUUUGUGUAUUUAAAAGACAAAAGUCUAAUAUCACUAUUACUAACAUUUUUUUUUUCAUUUUGAAAAGUAGAUGAUAACAAUUUGAUGGGAGUUGAGAAAGAAAAAAAAAAAGAGUUUUUCCUUAUGUAACAAAGGUUGUUUACCAUUGAUCAUCAAGAAAGAGUGUAAUGAGAAAAUAAAUUACAAAAAGACAGAUUAAGAAAAUAUGAUUAAAGAAAUUACUCAGAGUAAGUCUCUUAUGGAUUAAUCAAGAUAAAUGUUUAUCACUAUUAUAAUGUAUGUGAUAAUCAUAGACUCUAAGAUUCUUAUAAUAUACAUCAGAAUCUACAUGUAGUGUGGGAAUCAGGAUGUCCAAAUUUAUGAUUAUCCAUGGAUAAUGUUUUUUUACCAUAAUUUUUAAAAAAAAUAUGAAUUUGUGAAAAGAAGAAUUUUUUAUAAUUAAAUUACCAUAAAUUUUAUGGCACCUCAAGGAGCACGAGUGCACAAGUCUCAUUCUGUUAGUUGAAUGAUCAUGUGAAUCUGUGUGAGUAAUCAACUAAUUUCUUUGGUAAGAAUUGCAUUAGCUCUACACAUGUAUAGCCUCUCGGUCAUCUAAAAAUAUAAAACAAAUUUCAAUUCAAAGUGACCCUUUACAGGGCCUACAUUUCUGCAUAAACGUUUCUUUGGUAGGAAUUGCAUUGGUUUUACACAUGUAUCAGUCUUUCAACCCUCUAAAGAUAUAAGACAAAUUCCAAUUCAAAGUGGCCCUUUACAGUGCCUGCAUUUUUGCAGAAAGGACUCGAGGACUUUUCUACAUUUAUUUUGCAUUUUUUAAUGCUUUAAUUAAAUUGAAAUGCUAACACCCAAAUCUCACCUUGCAAUUUUGUGCUUUUACUCAUUCCAAGGAAAGAAGUCAAAUCCCGACCGAUCUGAUGUUGCUUUGAAUUUUGUGACCUCCUUCUUCAGUUGGAGCAUCUUAUUGCUUUUGAAUUCCAAUUAAGGAAUGACAAAUUUCAUUUUUGUGGGGAGUCUAGACAUUUCCAAAUGGUUUGCCCCAAAUGUAAAGUUUGAUUCAAAAAUAAAGGUGAGCAUAAUGUUUAUGUAUAUUUUGAAUCAAAGUUAACUAAAGUUUGCUAUAAUAUUUGGUGGAUUGAUUAUGGAUAUGUAUAGCUCAUCUUUCUAAUAUGAUGCAUGAAUUACUUUGAAUCCGAACCAUAAACCCAAAUGAGAAGUUUGUCUUCAUGGGAAAUAGAGUGAAAGUUCUAGUUGAAGCUAUCAGGACUUAUCGUUUAAUCCUUAACAUUGUAUUUUAUAUAGAUUUGUUUUAUACUUUUUAUGUACCUAGCAUUUCUUGGAACUUAGUUUCUUUGUCUAAAAUUGAUGUUGUUGGAUACUCUUAUAGGUUUGGGAAGGGUUGUUUAAGUUUGUAUAAGUGUACUUGUAUGAUAGGAUCUAGUACACUUUAUGAUGAUUUAUAUGUUAAAACUCUUAUGACCUCACGUCAUAAUGUUAUCACUAAAAGUAGUUUAGUGAAAUGAAUGUUCUGCUUAAUUGUGGCAUAAGUGUUUGAAAUAUAUUUCCAAAGAAAUUAUGCAAAGAUUAGUAAAGAAUGAAAUCAUUUUGAAUUUGGAUUUUACUUAUUUGAAUAUUGGUGUAGAUUGUACUAAAGGAAAACCAACAAAACACACAAAGAAAGUUGCCACAUGAAGCAUUCAACUUCUUGAAAUUCUUUUAAUAAAGAAAUGUAUUUUAUCACCUUUAAUAAUAAUUUUUCACGAUAUGGGUAUGUCUAUUUACUACAUGAGAAAUUUCAAGCAUUCCAUGCCUUAGAAAUUUAUAUAAAUAAACUAGGAAGACAUUUAGACAGAGAGGUGAAAAUUGUGAGAUUAGAUAGAGAGGGUCAAUAUUGUGGAUGAUGAAAGUUGGACCCUAUGUGAUCGGCCAUAAAAUACUUUGAUCUAUUUUCAAAAUUGUCAUCGAGCUUUUUUAAUGUUAUGGUUAGGGAGGUCAAACGUAAGUGACAUUUUCUCCACUAGUGUAGGUUUCUUAACCCAUUUCUCACCAGGAACAGUAAAAUGUGUUAUUCAGCUAAAUAUAUCAAUCAUGUGUGAUUGGAAUGAUUACUUAUUUUUCUAUUAUAAAAAAUGAGUUUCAUUUUGACGAGCAUAAUAUUUAUUCCUUUUAUAAUGAUUAUAUGAAUGUUCAAAGUUACACAAGAGCUUUUAAAUUUAUUGAUUUUGACUAUUAUAUUAAACGAGAGAAUAUUUUUAAUUUUUUAUAUAGUUUUGCUCUUUCUUUUUUUCUCUCUCUAUUUGAGUGCAAACAGAAUUAGUGCAUGAAUGAAAUCAAGAGAGUUGAACGUGAGAAUCUUAAACUGAAAAUAGUAUUUAUUAAUAAAUUAUCAAUCAAACUAGUUAUUAUUUUAAUAAUCAUUCAUUGGUGAUGGUAUAAGACAAAAGUUGAAUAAAAGACAAUCAUGUGUGCUCCUUAUUCAUCCAACAUAAAAUGUAAUGACAAUGAUGCAAAAUAUUGUACCACAAUUGUAAAAACAAAGAAUCUCUCACUUGUCACGGGUUAUGACACAAACAAAAAUAGUUAUACUUAAACCAUUGAAUUAAUAAAAAUACUUGAUCACUUAUUCAAAUUAUUUGAUACAUGAUUAAAUGUGUAAUAUGUCUCAAACUAGAAUUGAAAUCAACCACAAACAUAUCUAGAUUGACCUUGCUUUGUAUUAUUAUCCUCUCUCUUAACCUAACUACCUAGUCGAUAAACUGGUCUAGUUAACAAAUUAUUCUUUCUGGGUAUGCUGAGUCCAAAUAUCUCUUGCAUGUCUAACUCAUCACAAGACAUGCCCAAUGGAAGCAUCCAAUCAAAACAAUGCACCAAUUGUGCCAAAACAAGACUAACCGUUGUUAAACCCAAAUGAAUCCCGGGGCACCCUCUUCGACUCGACCCAAAUGGUAAAAUUCGAAAGUCCUUUCCACGAAUGUCUACAUUGUUAUUCUCAAACCUUGUAGGAUCGAAAAUCUCGGCAUUGUCCCAAACAUUAGGAUCUCGCCCUAUAGCCCAUGCAUUUACUAUAAUCCUUGAUUUUUUCUUUAUAAAAUAACCAUCAAUGAUAACAUCUUCUUUGCACUCACGAGGUACUACCAAAGGUACAACCGGGUGCAACCUUAGUGUUUCCUUCACCACCAUAUUCAAAAAAGAUAACUUGUCUAAGUCACUUUCCUCCCCGUAUUUGUUCAUUCCAACCACAUGUUUUAGCUCGUGUUGAAGUCUCUUCAUCACACUUGGGUGCCUCAAGAGUUCUGACAUGGCCCAUUCUAAUGUUGUGGAAGAUGUUUCUAAUGCUCCACCGAUCAUGUCUAAUAUGAUAGCUUUGAUGUUUGUCCUAUCAAUAACGUUUUGGUUGUUGUGAACAUCAUUUGGUUGGUGCAUGAGUGAGAGCAAAACCUCCACAAAGUCCAUGUUGCCUUUUUUUAUCUUUGUCAUUUGAAUUACUCUCUUUGUCUUGGAUUAUUUGCUCAAAGCCUUUGUCAAGUGACUUGCUUGCUUUCUUUAAUCUUGUUGUUAUUCCCUAAGCAAUAGUUGCAUGAAUAAAUACCAAAAAAGUAACAAAACAUAAUUAUACAUAUUCUUUCAUAUAGACAUAGAUAUGCCAACAAACAUUUCAAUUUAUUUAUCUAUGGAGUUACAUGUAAAACCCUAAAUUUCAUUCCAUGAUAAAAAUAUGUGAAAAGUUAGAUAAACACUAAUUUUAGUAAAUUUAUCCUUAUACAAAUCUUUGCUGGUCCAACUGCAUUAAUUGGCAUCAAAAUUUCUGAAACCAAACAAUAAUUUGAAUAUUAGUUAAAGAGAGAAAAAAAAAUUGGGGUUAGAUUUUGAGUUGGCUCGGGUCAGGUCAAGCUAAGUCGGCCCAAACCAAGGUCCACCCGAAUCAACCCAAGUCUAGAUCGAGUCAAAUCAGUCCAGUCGAGGUCGAGCAAAGAUGACACGAGACUAAGUCCAGCCAAAAUGAUCAGAGCUCUAGUUGGGUUGAGUCGACUUGGGCCUGGAUAGAACUCAAGUUGAGCUAAGUCGACUCGAGUCCAGAUCCACACAAGUUGAUUCAAGCCCAUGUCAAGCCGAGUAGAACAAGGCCCAUGUCGAACCAAGUCAACCCGGGCCCAUGUCGAGCUGAGUUGACCAGGACCACGUCGAGCCGAGUCGAACCGAGCCCAUGUUGACUCGAGUCGACCUGGGCCUAUGUUGAACCGAGUGUGCCUAAUCCCAUGUCGAGUCAGUUCGGGUCCAUAUCAAGUCGAGUCAGCCCCGACCCAUGUCGAGUAGAGUCGACCCGAGCCCGUGUCGAGCUGAGUCAACUCGGGUUCAUGUCGAGCCGAGUUAACCUGAACCCAUGUUGAGCCGAGUCGAUCCGAUCUCAUUUCGAGUCGAUUCGAUCCUGACUCUUUUCGAGCCGAGUCGAUUCGAGCCCAUGUUGAGUCAAGCCGAGUCGAUCCGAGGACAGUGAAUUUUGUGUUGCUUCCAGACCUAUUUUCGCUAAAGUAAAACAAGUUGAAAUGAACAUUUUUCUCAACUGUACCCAUAAAGAUUAAUGACUAAAUCAUAGAGAAAAACAAAGAAUAAGAGAUCUUUAGGGUAAAAAUGAACUUACUCUGUUUGAAAAAUAGGAUAAAAAUGUAUCCUAACUCCUCAGCAUGGCGUGAUCAAAUUUUAGAAUAAAUAAGGUACGAGAGAAAAAUUAAAAGAGAAAAAAGAAAAGAGAGAGAAACCAUACAUUUUUUUUCCAUGUGUUUACAUCAUAUAAUUCCUUAUUACAUAUAUUAAAAACAAUUACACUAAAUUAUUAUUUUAUUUUAAUCACGUAUAUUACACGUUAAUACACUUUUUCAUAUACAUUUAUAUAGAAAAUAUAAUAAUUCCAAUAUCAUAUAAAAUCUAUCCUUAGGACACAUCCCAGCCAUUAUGGUUUCCAUCAAGUUAAGACCCUUAACAUUGUCUUUUGCCAGACCCAAAAUUCAAAAAUCAGAAUAUGCAUAUCGUGUUUCCUGAGUAUGUACCCUAUACUAUUUUAUAUGUAAUCUUUUUGUUCUUGUGUGGAUUGGAAAUGCCCUCUCUCAUGCUCUAGUAGGCCUUGGACUCAUAAAAUUAAAGAAAUUUUAAUUUUUGGAUUUUUAUAAAAAUAUAAAAAUAUAUAUAUAAAAGAUUAUUUUCAAAUUAGUAUUUUAAUAUUUGAUACUUAAAAUUAUUAAAUGUCAAUUUAGUUAUUUCAUUCCACCUGUUUAUAGAAUCAUAUAGGUCUUUGAAAUGAAGACUUAGAUUAAUACAUAUAAAUUGAGUUAAUCUCGUAUUAGUUAAACCUUUCAUACCUUCAUUAUUAGUUAAUUAUUAGUUAAACCUUUCGUACCUUAAUUAUUAGUUAAUUAUUAGUUAAACCUUCCGUACCUGAUUAUAUUAAUUUAACUUUUUUAGGAGUAUGUUGAGGCAGGUUCCCAUGAUAUGCUCGACUAUAAUUACUGAAUAAUUCUCAAUCGUUGGUUCCAUGGACGUGUUGAUAAUGGAUAAUUUAUGAUGCCUGCACACUACUCUAAAAUGGUGUGUCGGUGUCCGAUACUCGUAUGAUACCGGUAGGAUAUGUAUUUGUGAAGUGUCCAAUUCAAAAAGUAUUUGUUAGAUUUCUAAUAAUUCUAGUACGGUUCUAACACAAUUCUAAAAAGAAAAAUACAUUAAUUUUUUAAAAAAUCAAAUUUUAUUGUAUAAAUUAUUAUUAUGAUUAUAAAAAUAAAAAUAAAAAUCCUUGUAAAUCAAUCAUAAAAAACAUCUUUCUGCUCCAAAAAAUAAUUUGGAACAUACUUGUGCACAUAAAUCUUUAUUGUCAAUUUAUAUAAUUCAUAAUUAUAUAAUAUAUAAAUUCGUGUCCCCGUGUCCUACAUUUUAGAGAUUUUACGUAUCUCCGUGUUUGUGUCCGUAUCGUAUCAGUGUUCGUGUCAAUAUCAGUGCUACAUAGUGUACAACACACUUUUUAAUACUUACAAUUUUAUAAAUAAUGAUAAUUAACAAUGACAAAAUAUAUUACUGAACUAGAUACACUUGAGAUUAUAUAUAAUAUUUUAAUAAUUUGUUUACUUAUCAAAUGUGAUAAAUGUUAGAAAAGAUGGUUUUAAACUAGAGGGGGGUGAAUUGUUUAAAGGGGUUUUCGCAAACUUUUCAAAGCUAGAAUGAACUUAUUUCAGAAACCAAUUGAUUCAGCAAUUCAGUUAGCCAAAACAGCAAGCAAAACUGUAAUACCAGAAAAAACAAUCGGUUGUUUCUUCGAAACAAUCGGUUGUUUAUACCAGCAAACAACAAACAAACUGAAAUUAAAGAGUUAGGGAUAGAAAGAUUGUACACAGUUGUUUAUACCGGUUCACUCCAAACUAGAGCUACAUCCAGUCUUCUCAGAAACCCUGAGGAUAUCCACUAAGCAACCACACCUUGAUCACUUACACCACAACCAAGAGAAUGACCUUGAACACCUCAAGAAACACACUCUCCUUGGCCAACACUAAGAUUGCUGAUCUUGAACACCUCAAGAACACACAGCCAAUCUCAGCACAACACACACACGAAUUGUUCAGCAGAUUACAAAGAUUACACUUGUUACAUAUGGAAAUCUGAAAUCAAUACAAGUAGAAUCCUAUUCAACACCUUGAUCAAUCUCUCAACUCUUUAGCAAUCUCAGAACUCUUUUGAAAAACUCUUAGAUGAAAAACUUUGUUUCAAGAUUCUUAAUACAUCAAAACAGUUUUUCAGAAUAUAUCUAAGAAUAUAGUUUGUUAUCAAAUCUUAACAAACUCUUAAUUGCAUUUAAAAUAGAUUGGUCAAAGCAUUUAAUGACUGGAGCGUAUUCAGUUAAAGCAUUUAAAGCUCAGUCAAAGAAAACAGUUUUUCUAUUAUGGUUUUAAAACAAACAAUCGAUUGUUUCCUCGAAUCAAUCGGUUGUUUUGUUACUUAACAAAAUACAUCAUUCAAAAACAGUUUUCAAACUUUCUCAAAACACCUAAGUGUAAACAAUCGAUUGUUUCGACACAACAAUCGGUUGUUUCAACUUAGUUUUUAAAACAUUUUGCUUUGUUAAAAUUGAGAUGCUAAUUGCUUUGAGAUUUAAUCUAAGGAUUGAUUACAACAUUAAACUACCCCAGAACAAGGCUUAAACCAGCACAGCAGCAUCAAGCAAAGCAGAGGCUUCAUCAUCCUUCAAAGGAUUUGGAUUCUUCAAAACAUUGAACACCACUUGGUUCAACAAUAAAUAUAUUAUAAAAGAUGAAAAGGUGUAAACAACUAAAAAUUGCAUAAAUGUCAUACCUAAUAUUAUUUUUGAGUUUAACUAACCCAAAAAAGUCAGAAAACAAAGUUUACAGUGUAGACAAAUACUUUCAUAUUUUUAUUGAUGUAGUUUUCGUGUAUUAAAAAACAAAAGUCUCCCACUUCAAAGAAUUUAUAUAUUACCAACAUUUUUUUCCAUUAUUAGAUCUUAACUUUAGUUUGUGAUACUAAAAUAUUUGCUACUCUUUUCUAUUGCGAGAGGUCAUUUGUAGUUAGUGGCUUGUAAGAACAUCUAUCAGUUUUAUUAAUAUUAUCACAGAAAAUUCCUUAUUUUUUUUCAUGAGAGAAAAUUUUCUAUUCAAUCUUUGUUAGAAGAUAAAUUAAAAUUUUCUCUACUAUUUUGAUAUUCAAGUCUUACAUGGUGAAUGAACUCUUUCAUAUAUUCAUUGUCCUUCAUUCUAACAAUUUCAAAUUCUCUUAUCAAAUUUUGAACAUACAUCUUCUUGGAUGUAUCACUUUUUUGAAACUCCUCCUGCAACUGAACCCAAGUUUCCUAGACGAUUUAUAGAGUAACGAUUUUAAUAAAAACAUUACCCUACUAAAUUGUUUAUUUUAUGAGAAGUGUAUUUUUUUUCCUUUCUCAUUUCAUCAUUAUGAUUUUAAAUCUGAGUAAAGUCAUUUCUAAAUGAACUAUAAUACCAUGAAAGAGAAAUAGAAUAUGCUUGAAUUGCACAAGUUCAUGAGGAAACCAAACUUAAGAAUCAAGGUACCAUUUUAUUCAUUAUGUGAAUAGUUAAGAGCUGGAUAUAAAGUUGAUAAACAACAUGAAAAUGGCAAAUAACCAUUAAAGAUUAGUGUGUUCUCUGCUAUGUGGGAAGUUUGGACAUUUGCAAAAGAAUUGCCCCAAACGUAAAGCUUGGUUUAAAAUAAAGGUGAGCAUAAUGCUUAUGUAUGUUUUGAAUCAAACUUAACUGAAGUUCGCUAUAAAAUUUGGUGGAUUUAUUAUGGAUGUACAACUGAUGUUUCUAAUAUGAUGUAUGAAUUCCUUUUAAUCCAAACCAUAAACACAAAUGAGAAAUUUGUCUUCAUGGAAAUAGAGUGAAGGUUGCAUGUAAAGCUAUAGGACUUAUCGUUUAAUCAUUAACACUGGAUUUUAUUUAUAUUUGUUUGAUAUUUUUUAUGUACCUAACAUUUCUAGGAAUUUAGUUCUUUGUCUAAACUUGAUGUUGUUGGAUACUCUUAUAGGUUUCAUGUUAUGGAUAUGUCUAUUUACUACAUGAGAAAUCUCAAGCAGUGAAUGUCCUAGAAAUUUAUAUAAAUGAAGUGGAAAGACAAUUAGGCAGAAAUGUGAAAAUUGUCAGGUUGGAUACAGAUGGUGAAUAUUGUGGAAAAUAUGAUGAAAGUCAGACCCUAUAUGAUCCGAUGUAAAACACUUCAAAAAAUUUACCUGGCUUUUUUAAUGUCGUGGUUAGGGAGGUCAUACAUAAAUGGUCGAGGUCACUAGGAAUAAUAAAAUGUGUUACUCAAUUAAAUAAAUAAAUAAUGUAUUAUUGGAAUAAUUACUUAUUUUUCUAUGUUUUAAAAAAAUAAAUUUCAUUUUGACAAGCAUGAUAUUUAUUCUUUUAUAAUGAUUAUAUGAAUUUUUCGAGUUACACGAGAUAUUCUAAAUCUAUUUAUUUUGACUAUUCUACUAAAUGAGAUAAUUUUUUCAUUUUUCUUAUAGUUUUUUCUUUUUUUUUUUCCUCCAUUUGUGUGAAAAAAAAAUAGUAUGCGAAUGGAAUCAAGAUAUUUCAACGUCAGAAUCUUAAACUGAAAAUAGUCUUUAUUAUUAAAUUAUAGAAUUAGUUCUCAUUUUAACAACCAUUCAUUGGUGGUGGUAUAAGAAAAAAGCUUAAUAAAAGACAAUCAUGUGUACUCCUCAGUCACUCAAAAUAAAAUGCAAUGAUAACAAUGCAAAAUAUGGGUACCACAAUUGCAAAAUCAAAGAAUCUCCCACUUGUCAUAGUUUAUGACACACACAAAAAUAGUUAUACUCAAACCAUUAAAUUGAUAAAAACACUUGAUCGCUUAUUCAAAUUAUUUGAACACAUGAUUAAAUGUGUCACAUGUCUCAAACUAGAAUUAAAAUCAACCACAAACUUUGCAUUAUUAUCCUCUCUUUUAACCUAACUAGCUAGUCGGUAAACUGGUCUAGUUAACAAAUGAUUCUUUCUUGGUAUGCUAAGUCCAAAUAUCUCUUGCAUGUCUAAUUCAUGAGAAGACAUGCCUAAUGGAAGCACCCAAUCAAAACAAUGCACCAAUUGAGCCAAAACAAGGCUAAGCGUGGUUAAACCCAAAUGAAUCCCGGGACACCCUCUUCGACCAGACCCAAAUGGUAAAAUGCGAAAGUCCUUUCCACGAAUAUCUAUGUUGUCAUUCUCAAACCUUGUAGGAUCGAAAAUCGCAGCAUUGUUCCAAACUUUAGGAUCCCGUCCUAUAGCCCAUGCAUUUACUAUAAUCCUUGAUUUUUUCUUUAUGAAAUAACCAUCAAUGAUAACAUCUUCUCUACACUCACGAGGUACUAACAAAGGUGCAACCGGGUGCAACCUUAGUGUUUCCUUUACCACCAUGUUCAAAUAAGACAAAUUUUCUAAGUCAUUUUCCUCCACGUGUCUAUUCAUUCCAACCACAUGUUCUAGCUCGUGUUGAAGUCUCUUCAUCACACUUGGGUGCCUCAAGAGUUCUGACAUGGCCCAUUCUAACAUUGUGGAAGACGUUUCUAAUGCUCCAGCAAUUAUGUCUAAUAUGAUAGCUUUGAUGUUUGUCCUAUCAAUGACGUUUUGGUUGUUGUGAACUUCAUUUGGUUGGUGGAUGAGUGAGAGCAAAACCUCCACAAAGUCCAUGUUGCAUUUUUUAUCUUUGUCAUAUGGAUUACUCUUUUUGUCUUGGAUUAUUUGCUCAAAGCCUUUAUCAAGUGACUUGCUUGCUUUCUUUAAUCUUUUUGUUAGUCCCUGAACAACGUUUUCAUGGAUAAAUAUGAAAAAAAUAAUAUAAUUAUAACAUAUUCUUUGGUACAGAUAUGACAACAAACAUUUGGAUUUAUUUAUUUAUGGAGUCACAAGUAAUUUUUAUUCAAUAAUAAUAAAUAUGUCAAAAGUUAGAUAAACACUAGUAUGAAUAAAGACGAAUUUAGUUUCAAUUUACACCAAUUUAUUUCUCGAGUUAAUUGAAUUUAUUUUAUUCCAAAUUGCAUUUCAUUAAUUAAUUAAAUUAUGUGAAAUUAAAAAGUUAUAUUUAUUUUUUUUAAUUGCAAUAAUUAAAAUUGAAAAAAUCACAUGCAACCAAAGUAAAAAAAAAAAUCAGAAAUAAACAUAAAAAAUAUUAUUAAAAUAUUAAAAUUAAAUAAAAUUAUUGCAAAAAACCCUAAAUAAUUCUAACCCAUUUAAAAUAAAUACAAAUCACAUUAAAAAUAAAAUAAAACACAAAAACUAGCCAAGAGGCAUGAUUUAAAAAACCAAAAUAAAUAGUAAAAAUGUGUCUAGUGUCAUAACUUCACAUUAAAAAAAAGGAAAACUAAAACUUUAUAACAUACCACUUAAUACAUCUUUAAUAAAAUAAUAUUUAAAAAAAUAAUCUAGAAAACGUGUUUCCAAAUAUUAUUUUAUUAAAAAAAAACUUAAAAUUCGUAUUAUGAGAUAUAACUUGAGCAAGUGCCGGAACCCUCAGCACAGCCAAGAUGUAAUGGUUGUUCAAUAAGCAGUUAAUAAGAACCUCAAUUACUAUCAUUUUAGUAUUAAUAUAAAAGAAGAAUUAAAUAUAUUUUCAUAUAAACAAAAUUAGUUUUCAUAAUUUAUCCAAAUUUUAGACUUUUUAAAUAUUUAUAAAAGAAAUAUUAAAUUUGUCAUUUUAUAAAUUUUUAUAUAUAUUAUAUAUUAUAAUGCAUGCAUAUAUACUAUAACAAGUUUUAGUUGCAACAUAUAUAUAAUUAAAUUGAUACCUGAAGAUCAAACACUCUUAGCCAGGGAAUGUAAUCUGCAAGAUUAAAAGCUCCAAUCAAGUUGAGAGCCUCUUGAAUAAGGUUUUUCAGGUCCAAUCUAUCAUCUUUUGCACACCCCAACACCAUUUUAAACACCAUCUUCUCCAUCAGCUCCCCCAGCAACUCACUCAGAUCAACAACCUCACCAGAUGCUGCAGAAUGUUUCAGAGACUUCACCAACACUCCCAACUCCUCUCUCCUCAUAGGAGCAAACAUCUCAACCCUUGAGGCACUCAGAAGCUGCACAGUGCACACUUUUCUCAUGUUGCGCCAGUAUGCACUGUACUCAGAAAAAGCCAAACCCUUGCUGCCAUGUGAAAGGAAUUCAGAGGCUUGGAUUUUGGGUCUGCUGGCAAAAACAGUGUCAUGGGUUUUGAGGAACAGUUCUGCAGUUUCUGGGGAAGAAACCACUAUGGCUGGGAUCUGCCCUAGCUUUAAGGACAUUAUGGGACCAUAUUUUGUGGCAAGGGAUUGAAGGGUUCGAUGUGGGAGUUUUCCUAGCAUGUGAAGGUUACCAAUUAUUGGCAAGGGUUUGGGACCUGGUGCAGUUUUUCCAUCAUGUUUCUUUUGGAACAGAAAAACAAUGAAUGAGAUUAAGAGAAGUAUUAUAGGGAUAGCUAGUGCUUGAAACAACAUUUCUAAA